UCCUAGGUAGUAUAGUGGUGAGUAUCCCCGCCAGUCACGCGGGGAACCGGGGUUCAAUUCCCCGCCUGGGGG
rnacentral:tRNA from 1 species